UACAGAGGGUGCAAGCGUUGCUCGGAUUUACUGGGCGUAAAGCGUACGCAGACGGUAAGGAAGGUCGAAUGUGAAAGCCCCGGGCUCAACCCGGGAACUGCAUCCGAAACCCCCUUGCUCGAGUAUGGGAGAGGGAAGCGGAAUUCCUGGUGUAGAGGUGAAAUUCGUAGAUAUCAGGAGGAACAUCAGCGGCGAAGGCGGCUUCCUGGCCCAUUACUGACGUUCAGGUACGAAAGCGUGGGUAGCAAACAGG
rnacentral:rRNA from 1 species